ensembl:lncRNA
AACAUUUAAUACUGAAUGCUACUGUACAGGUGAUGCAGGAAUUCGACUGAUGUCUGAUGGGUUUACAGUCAUUUCUGUGGAUUUAUCUCGGAGGAGUCGAGGACUAACGCAGGACUGAUGAGGAGCUUGUUGAACAGCAGCUGGAAAUGACAGAUAUUCACCUGCCUCAGUGUGAGCGUGUCAUAUUGAUUCCCGAGCUGAUGAAUUCUGUGUCUGACCUCUGCCAGCGCAUGAUGCUCUUAUCGGUCCAUCGCUCCUGUGCCAGUCCAGAUGGAGAAACAAUGCGCUCGGCUCUGGUCUUAUCGCGCUCCGGCCGUCAGCGGACAGCAUCCGGUAUCUGGAGCUGAUGAACGGCUCUGGCCUCGUGUCGAGUAGAUAAACCCACAGCUUGGCUUCGGCUCCUGAAGAGCUCCUGCGCCAGAAUGGAUUAGGUAUCGAUCUUAACAAUCCUGAGAUUGAGUUAUUUAUUUUUUUUCAAUGUCAUGACAUCAGGAUGAUGGAAGCGACCACACUUGCAGGAGAUUGUGAUUCCCAGCGGAGCGCCUCUUUAAAAAUUCAAGAAAAGUGCUAGUGAGAGUUCAGGUUUAAUCACAGCGGAGAACAGAAAGGAAUGCACUCUAAAAAAUAAAGCUUUCAUAAAAGCCUUUUUGCAGCGAUGCUUUAGAAGAACCAUUUUUUGGUUCCCCAAUGACCAAUUCUUACUGUUUACACACAUUUUCAAAACUUUGCCUCUUUUUUAAAAAACUAAAGAACUUUACACACAAAUCCAAGAAUUGCACACACAGAUUGCAAAAAGCCUCACAUCUCUUGCAAAAUGAAGCACUGCAUUCAAAAUAUCACAAACACAUCUCGAAAGCAAACAUUAGUCUUCCAAUGCAAAAACAUUUGCCAUAAUAUUAUAUAAUUUUUGGAUAUAUCAUAUACGCACAGUUAUUCAAAACCUAAAGCUCUUAUUUCAUGAGCUCCUGUGUAUAUUUCUGUACAAGACUGAAAGUAAUUGGCAGAGCGAUUAAAAAAAAAAACGCUAAACAUGAAAGCAGAUUGAAAC